CCUACCUCAGCCUUCCAAAGUGUUGGGAUUACAGCACUCUCUGCCCAGUGCCUUUCUCCCCACCUCAGAAUGAAAAGCUAGGGGAACAGGAGGGAGCAUGUGCAGGGAAGCCCCCUCCCAUCAGGCCUGAAGUGCAAGUAGGCCUGUCCCUGUUCCUGCCUCACUCUUCCUGGAAAGCCUGGAUCUCUGCAUCUGAGCACCUUGCUGCCCUGGUCUGUUGCGAGCAUGUCAAGGAGCACUGGCUAGAACUUCCAUCCCUGUGGUGAAUAAGAGUGAUGAAAGUGGACACCAUCGUAUUAUUGAAUUGAAGGGCCUUCAUGGGGCUUUGAAUUCAGCCUCAAACAUUGUGAUAAUCCGAUCCUGACACUUGCCCUCCCCUCAUUCACUCUUUUAACAAUCCCAAGAGAGUGCAGGACUGAGAUCCGAAAAUGUUAUUAUGGAGGGGAAAUAAAGGUUAUUUUGAAUGCUUCAAGGUCACGUGACUUGUAAGUAAGUAUUUGGGGUCUCUAACUGCAUGUCUAUAAACACCCAAAUAACUGCUCUUCCCAACACUAUGUCUCCAACUGCUUUAAACAAUGGAAAUCUUUACAAAAUAAUUCCCAUCUCCAUAUACAAAGAGAUCCAUAACUAUGUAAAUACUG
rnacentral:lncRNA from 1 species